rnacentral:rRNA from 1 species
UACGUAGGGUGCGAGCGUUGUCCGGAAUUAUUGGGCGUAAAGAGCUCGUAGGUGGUUUGUCGCGUUGUCCGUGAAAACUCACAGCUUAACUGUGGGCGUGCGGGCGAUACGGGGCAGACUGGAGUACUGCAGAGGAGACUGGAAUUCCUGGUGUAGCGGUGGAAUGCGCAGAUAUCAGGAGGAACACCGGUGGCGAAGGCGGGUCUCUGGGCAGUAACUGACGCUGAGGAGCGAAAGCGUGGGGAGCGAACAGG